rnacentral:rRNA from 1 species
CCUACGGGUGGCAGCAGUGGGGAAUAUUGCACAAUGGGGGAAACCCUGAUGCAGCGACGCCGCGUGAGUGAAGAAGUAAUUCGUUACGUAAAGCUCUAUCAGCAGGGAAGAAAAUGACGGUACCUGGAUAAGAAGCCCCGGAUAACGACGUGCCAGCCGCCGCGGUAAGACGUAGGGGGCAAGCGAUAUCCGGCUUUACUGGGGGUAAAGGGAGCGUAGACGGUGGGCCAAGUCUGGAGGGAAAUGCCGCAGCUUAACUGCGGAACUGCUUUGGAAACUGGCGAACUAGAGUGCGGGAGGGGUAAGCGGAAUUCCUAGUGUAGCGGUGAAAUGCGUAGAUAUUAGGAGGAACACCGGUGGCGAAGGCGGCUUACUGGACCGUAACUGACGUUGAGGCUCGAAAGCGUGGGGAGCAAACAGGAUUAGAUACCCGUGUAGUC